AAGGCUUGACAUGCACCGGAUCGCUGCAGAGAUGUGGUUUCCGUAAGGUCGGUGUACAGGUGGUGCAUGGUUGUCGUCAGCUCGUGUCGUGAGAUGUUGGGUUAAGUCCCGCAACGAGCGCAACCCUUAUCCUAUGUUGCCAGCGGGUUAUGCCGGGGACUCAUGGGAGACUGCCGGGGUCAACUCGGAGGAAGGUGGGGAUGACGUAGACGUCAUAACC
rnacentral:misc_RNA from 1 species